AAUACAGAGGUCUCAAGCGUUGUUCGGAUUCAUUGGGCGUAAAGGGUGCGUAGGCGGUGCCGUAAGUCGGGUGUGAAAUCCCGGGGCUUAACCCCGGAACUGCAUUCGAUACUGCGGUGCUCGAGGACUGGAGAGGAGACUGGAAUUCACGGUGUAGCAGUGAAAUGCGUAGAUAUCGUGAGGAAGGCCAGUGGCGAAGGCGGGUCUCUGGACAGUUCCUGACGCUGAGGCACGAAGGCCAGGGGAGCAAACGGGA
rnacentral:rRNA from 1 species